rnacentral:lncRNA from 1 species
CUAGAACAAAGUGCAUCUAUAACUAAUGCAAAUGUUUCUAUCCUUAUUGGCCCUUUAGGCUUAUUUGAAUCGUCUUUGUUUUUCUCUUUUUUCACCUCUUCGCCAUUCAGUAGAGCUGAAGGAAUGCUGCAUAUCUAAGUUACCAAUUGAGGAUGUCCCAUCAAGUCUGAUAUUGCAAUUUUGCACCACAUUUGUCCAUGAACCAUUUGAGUCCAAUAAGUUAAAGUAGUUUUCUCUAGGCUGCUUGUGCUUUUCUCAAACAGGACUUCGAAGAUAAUGCACACCUAAUAACUUGGUAUUUGUUUCUGAAAUCUUAGGGAACUGGAAAGAGAAUGGGCUCUCACAAGUGGUAUCAAUGAUUGUACAACGUCUGUCAUGAGUGGCCUGUAAUCAGCUUCUGGCUGUAUGCACAUUGCGGCGAUGGCAGCUACCUGUAAAACCCCGUAGCAACAUAAAGUAAAAUGGUAAGUUAAUUGAUGGUAAAAAUAUUAUCAAUCCAAAUUAUAAGUCAUAAUUAUGAGGAUAAUAAGAGAAUAACAGUGACUAAACGAAAUCAGGUCUGACCUGAACUAAAGCCUUCUUUGAGUACUGCCCAUGUAGAACUGGGUCAACCAUUUCCACAACUUUUUCUCUGUUUGUCAAUCUUGGAAGAGCCUGAUGAAUAACAAGUGUCGGAGGAUGUCACAAAAUGAAAUGUCAGUAUUACAAGCUCAAUUAGGUCCUUAAGGAUGACUAUUUUUUUCCCUUUGGUUUUAAACAAACUAGUCUUGAAUAGUUUCAAAGUACUGUUUUCUUACCCAAGAGACGAGGACAUGUUCUCCGGUGGGCCGCUUAAUAUCAACUGGUACACGUCCUGUUAGUAAUUCGAGAAGAACUACACCGUAGCUGUAAACAUCCGACUUUGUAGUAAGCUUACCCGUGGAGGCAUACCUACAUUAUCAUAUCCAAGUUAAACAGACAAAUUAAAUUUAUGGAAUAAUUUAUGAAGUCAAUGAUUUUUUUAAAAUUAUUACUAGGUUUCUUUGUGAC